rnacentral:rRNA from 1 species
GUGGAUUAGUGGCGAACGGGUGAGUAACACGUGAGUAACCUGCCCUUGACUCUGGGAUAAGCGUUGGAAACGACGUCUAAUACCGGAUACGAGCUUCCACCGCAUGGUGAGUUGCUGGAAAGAAUUUUGGUCAAGGAUGGACUCGCGGCCUAUCAGCUUGUUGGUGAGGUAAUGGCUCACCAAGGCGACGACGGGUAGCCGGCCUGAGAGGGUGACCGGCCACACUGGGACUGAGACACGGCCCAGACUCCUACGGGAGGCAGCAGUGGGGAAUAUUGCACAAUGGGCGAAAGCCUGAUGCAGCAACGCCGCGUGAGGGACGACGGCCUUCGGGUUGUAAACCUCUUUUAGCAGGGAAGAAGCGAAAGUGACGGUACCUGCAGAAAAAGCACCGGCUAACUACGUGCCAGCAGCCGCGGUAAUACGUAGGGUGCAAGCGUUGUCCGGAAUUAUUGGGCGUAAAGAGCUCGUAGGCGGUUUGUCGCGUCUGCUGUGAAAUCCCGAGGCUCAACCUCGGGUCUGCAGUGGGUACGGGCAGACUAGAGUGCGGUAGGGGAGAUUGGAAUUCCUGGUGUAGCGGUGGAAUGCGCAGAUAUCAGGAGGAACACCGAUGGCGAAGGCAGAUCUCUGGGCCGUUACUGACGCUGAGGAGCGAAAGGGUGGGGAGCAAACAGGCUUAGAUACCCUGGUA